rnacentral:lncRNA from 1 species
CAGGUUGUUGAUGAACCACAUCCCAGUCAUGGCACUGAAGCACACAUGGAGGGAACAAAAUAGGCUAGCAGAUAGCUUAGCCAAACAAGGGAUGGGGGAUGCCCAGAAUGCAGGCCUACAACUUUUUGAAGUUCCAACACUAUAUUCUUUCGAUGCUUUCCAAGCAGAUAGUCUAGGAACUUAUUUUGGCAGACAAUUCAGAAUCUGUAAUCUUAACGGGCAUGGGCAAAACUUAUACCACCAUGUACCUCCUUGAACUAUUAAUCUAA